ensembl:lincRNA
CACUGAUUCAUUUCACACUUUGCCAUGUUUGUUCGCAGAAAUUCUCUUUCUUCUUCCUCUUUUUCUGAAUACACAGGUAAUUUCCCCAAGUAUAACUAUUCCAUAAUAAUCUAAAGGACUGGAUGGGAGAGUACACUGGUACUGGACAGUUUCAUGGCAGUGGGUAAGUGCAAGGUUUUAUAGCACUGGAAGUAACAAUCUGCCCCCACCUCUUGUACCACGAAUAGGAGCUAGGAUGUCACAGAAGGAGGCUGGACCAUUAGACUGGACAUGACUAAAAGUCAUCACCAUGGUGUGACGCAGGUCAGGAAUUUCAUGAAAGGAAAGUGAAGCCCAGAAAUGUGAGGAAAAGUAUGAAUUAUCACUGAAAACUGCAGGAGUCAACAAUGUGGCAGAGUAACAGACUGAAAGAUUAUUUUUUUUUAAAUGCUAGCUACCUACAAUAACUUGCGUACUGAGUUAUACAGCAAAAAAAGCUCACUUGGGGUCAGAACUGUGGCAAAGAGAACCACCAGCUCCACACCCACCCUUUCUCCUCCUCAUGACAACAUAGUGCAAAAUAAGCACGAAUGCAAGACUCCUCCAAGCUUAUGACAAAUAAAACUAUAAAACAAAACCCUGGAGCAUUCCACAGUGGCCAUCAGCUUCAAGGUCUCGGAUAAUGGAGAUAUUUUAUAUGCCCAGUUUAACCAACACAUGCUUUUUUUAUUGUGCUGUUAAUUGCUUUUAUCGUUUUAUGACGCGCUUCUCUGCAGGCCUGAUGCAGUUGAAGUUAUUCUUUGUCAGCCGUGUGCAAUCCCAAGAGCCGUGAAAGCAAGAGGCCCCAUGAUUGCCCAAAAGAGCACAAUUUGCCGUUUGGCCAUGUGAUGGUUUUCAACCUCCCAGUGUUCACAUGUUUCCGAAUCCUUUCUGCAAGGAUGAAAGCUUCCGAAACCGCUGCAGCCAACCUAACUUCAGGGCUUUGCAGAAUGGAAACUGGCGCAGGGCCUGACUGGACAACACUGCAGCAGCCACAGGAUGUCGAGUGCGCUCCUAACGAGUUUCUGACGCCAGCCCUGUCGUCACAGACAAACCCCACCCCGGGCUUCUUCAGUCUGGCUUCCCAACAGCCCCCCUCCCCUUAAAUGACCGGGAGCAGCGCGGUCUCGCUCCUCCAGCUGAUGCAGCGGGGCAGCGGGGCAGCUGGGCCGUGAUGGGCACAGGCCUCACCCCGGCGGGGCUGCACCUCUGUGGCGGGUGGGGAGACGUGGGUGCCUCUCCUACUGCACAGGCAAAGUGAAACACACGUUCAAGCAAAUAUCACAUACCCUGAUAUGGUAUAAUAAUAAUAAUAAUAAUAAUUGCUUACACUUAUAUAGCGCUUUUCUGGACACUCCACUCAAAGCGCUUUACAGGUAAUGGGGAUCCCCUCCACCACCACCAGUGUGCAGCCCCACCUGGAUGAUGUGACGGCAGCCAUAGUGAGCCAGAACGCUCCCCACACACCAGCUCUCAGUGUGGAGGAGAGCAGAGUAAUGUAGCCAGUUCAUAGAGGGGGGUUAUUAGGAGGCCAUGAUUGGUAAGGGCCAAUGGGGAAUUUGGCCAGGACGCCGGGGUUACACCCCUACUUUUUUCGAGAAACGCCCUGGGAUUUUUAAUGAUCAGAGAGAGUCAGGACCUCGGUUUUACGUCUCAUCCGAAGGACGGUGCCUGUUUACAGUGUAGUGUCCCCGUCACUAUACUGGGGCAUUAGGACCCACAUGGACCACAGGGUGAGCACCCCCUGCUGGUCCCACUAACACCUCUUCCAGCAGCAACCUUAGUUUUCCCCACAAAAGGAACGUAGGUAUUGCUACAAAGAUCACAAGCUCAAGGCUGCAACAGCUUCUAAACAUUUCCAUUUCAUUGGUUUAAACACCGCUUGUUUCACUUCAAACUGAUGCCAGUUUGCGGUGAAUAUUAGCCCCAGGCUAACACUCGUUUGUUCUGGAGCUGUGACCUGUAUUAUUGACACAUUAGUAAACACUGUAACGCGCCAGCUCUCCGGCAGCAGCAGAGUCGCAUUGGCCUGACUAAUUUAUGUGGUCAUAUAAAUAAAGAGGGAAUAAUUUCAAGAAGGAAUCUUGGCCAUGCUUGAAGAGAUCAAAGUGAAUUAUUAUUCUCACACGCUUAACAAGCAAAUGAUUUGCAAAGCUGUCUUUGAAGCAAGAGGAACAGCUGCAUGCUAAUCACGAUCACUCCCAUUCUAAAGCCGUGUUAUCCUUUUACCACUUCUCUUAUUUUAACAUCAUUGCAUCUUUAUUUCUCAUUGGG